GACGAACGCUGGCGGCGUGCUUAACACAUGCAAGUCGAACGGAAAGGCCUCUUUCGGGGGGUACUCGAGUGGCGAACGGGUGAGUAACACGUGAGUAACCUGCCCUUGACUUUGGGAUAACUUCAGGAAACUGGGGCUAAUACCGGAUAGGAGCUCCUGCUGCAUGGUGGGGGUUGGAAAGUUUCGGCGGUUGGGGAUGGACUCGCGGCUUAUCAGCUUGUUGGUGGGGGAGUGGCUUACCAAGGCUUUGACGGGUAGCCGGCCUGAGAGGGUGACCGGCCACAUUGGGACUGAGAUUCGGCCCAGACUCCUACGGGAGGCAGCAGUGGGGAAUAUUGCACAAUGGGUGGAAGCCUGAUGCAGCAACGCCGUGUGCGGGAUGACGGCCUUCGGGUUGUAAACCGCUUUCGCUCAUGACGAAGCUUUGUGUGACGGUAGUGGGUAAAGAAGCACCGGCUAACUACGUG
rnacentral:rRNA from 1 species